UACGUAGGGUGCGAGCGUUGUCCGGAAUUAUUGGGCGUAAAGGGCUUGUAGGUGGCGUGUCGCGUCUGUCGUGAAAGGCUCCGGCUUAACUGGAGUAGUGCGGUGGGUACGGGCAUGCUUGAGUGUGGUAGGGGAGAUUGGAAUUCCUGGUGUAGCGGUGGAAUGCGCAGAUAUCAGGAGGAACACCGGUGGCGAAGGCGGAUCUCUGGGCCAUUACUGACGCUGAGGAGCGAAAGCGUGGGGAGCGAACAGGAUUAGAUACCCCGGUA
rnacentral:rRNA from 1 species